rnacentral:rRNA from 1 species
CAGUUAACGUCAGGGUUCAUGGGUAUUAACCAUGAACUUUUCCUCACUGCUGAAAGUGCUUUACAACCCUCGGGCCUUCUUCACACACGCGGCAUUGCUGGAUCAGGCUUUCGCCCAUUGUCCAAUAUUCCCC